rnacentral:rRNA from 1 species
UACGUAGGGGGCGAGCGUUGUCCGAAGUUACUGGGCGUAAAGCGCGCGUAGGCGGUUCUCUAAGUUUGGGGUGAAAGGUUCAGUGCUCAACGCGAACAGUGCCCUGGAGACUGGAGAACUUGAGUGUGGGAGGGGCAGUGGAAUUCCUGGUGGUAGCGGUGAAAUGCGUAGAUAUCAGGAGGAACACCGGUGGCGAAGGCGGCUGCCUGGCCUAACACUGACGCUGAGGUGCGAAAGCGUGGGGAGCGAACGGG